UCUUGUUUUUUACAUCUCUGAUUCUUGGUUUAUUUAAAAAAAAACUCUUCUAUGUUUUUAUCACAAAAAUUCUUAAUCAAUAACAAUUUGUGCUCAAUGAGAGACAAAAGGAUCGUUGUCUAUUAGGUUACAUGAGAUUCCUGGUUUAUCUUUUAUGAAAGAUCGUAAUUGGUACAUCAGGUACUAUCUUCCUUUUUUUUAAACAUUGUCUCACACUAGAAUUUUGUCCUGUGUCGUGGGUGCGUUUACAAACAUACAAGUUCACAUGCACAUGACACCCAGACCCAAAACAACAGUUUGUGGAUCACACAAAGAGUUAUUCCGUACGGGAAUCUAACCCGCUACACGUUGCCCAGGUACCACUCCAAAUUUGCAGUCGGUCUCUGCCUAGAAGGAUUAAAAUCCUUGAUCUUCUAUUAUUGAGAGUUAAACACAAUUAAAUAUGAUCUCCUAUAUGCAUGAUAUUAAUUAUCAUCUAACUACUUCCUACUCCUUUAAGGAAAAUCCAAAGCAAAACUAUUUAUCAUAUUAUCAAAGACUAGAGCGAUACGUGUUAUGUCAGCCAAUUUAUAUACCAACGUUUAUUCAAGUACAUGACAUUCCACCCAUAUUUGCUUUUUGCGGUUUCCGUCAAAUAUCGUCUAUAAAGAGUACCAUUAAUAAAUAGUGGUAUAACCAUCUUCCGCUCAUCUUUACGUAGGUGUAUAUGUCUCGACGACCGUUCUCGUUUCAGGGUGAUCCACUCUUACUUAACAAUUUAUGUUAAUACAAACACUUCUGGAGUGCUAAAAUCGUCAUAAAUUAUUGUGCGCGACAUCCAUUCUAAUCUAAACAGUCGUCGCGUUCUCUUGUUUGCUACCUGUAAUCAAUAAUCAUGUUGAAGAUUAAUUUCGUUUUUUUACUAUGUGUGGUUUGUGUUGUGAGUGGGUGGAGAGUGUUUCCCUUGCCCGAUGCGCCUGCACCGACCACUGCGCGUGCACCGGCGCCCGCACAAAAUAUUGACUUCAAUAAUCGCGUGAAGCCUACUCCCGUUGCAACAUCGCCGUUCAAUAAGAUCACCACAACAGCGGAUAAUAUUCCUAACAAAUUAAACAUUAAGCCGACGAGUGUCAAGCCCUUCUUGUCUACUCAGGAUGUCAGCGUGCCGGCAAAUGACCUGUUACCACCGAAGACGGAGUACACGCAGUACGAACCAUGAGCCACACAACACACCUACUCCAUAGAUAUUAAGCUAUAGCUUUAAAUGUAAUUAAAUUAUAUUAAAAUUUUAAUUCAUUCUCCGUAUAGCAGUAUAAUACAGAAAUAGCACUUUCGAACAAAUAUCAUGAUGGAAUGCGUUUCAACUGUAUUCUGGAUAUUUGUCUGUUCGUUUGCUUGCACGUUUAUAGGUCUGUGUGUGUGUUUGUUUCGGCAUCACUUUAAAAAUAGUAGUGAAUAGCCAAUCUUUGAAUAGCAACCAUGUAAAUAAGUUACUUUUGAUCAUUAAAACAUUAAAAAAAUAUAUUUAUGUAUUUGAUUUAGGUUACUUGUAAAGUUGUUGCAAGUUAUAGUACGUAUACAGUAUAUAUGGAGAUCACUCAUAUGACUUUAAUGAAACUACAACUAAAUAUUUCAACGAGAACUGAAAAUUUAACAAUUGAAAUUCUCAAACAAAUUAUGUAAUUAAAUUAAUCAAGUAUUGUUGAAGAAGAGCUGUAAUGUUGUAAGUUUGUCUAAAAAUGUUGCGGUGUUGUUAUAAUGCCGUAUUUGUAAAGAGUGUUCAAAUUAGCUCAAAGACAAUAAUGUACUUUUUGGCUUACCUACUAGGCCUAAUAUUUUGCUCAUUUUUCAUAUGCCGUCAGCCAAGAUGAUAACUAAUUAUGUGAUUUAAAUUAAGUUAUAAGAGGUUUCCCCAUACGGUAACACAUAAAUUAAAUUAUUUUAUUAUACUGUAUAUCUGUUAAAUUAAUGAUUGGUACUUACGCAGUAGUCAUAACUCUAAUAACAAAGCAAUUAUGACGUCACUCCUGUAAUUAAUUUAUGUUUCUUUUUCAUAUACGUAUCUUGGGAUUCACCUCAGUCUGUAUAAAAAUUCCAUUUCAUUGUAUAAUACUGCAAAAAGUAGAUAAUAUCAGGAUGGCAAAUGUAUAAUUUAUCUGACAAAUUAUAUUACGAGUUGAUAUCCUA